rnacentral:rRNA from 1 species
GAUGAACGCUGGCGGCGUGCCUAAUACAUGCAAGUCGAGCGAACGGACGAGGAGCUUGCUGCUCGGACGUUAGCGGCGGGCGGGUGAGUAACACGUGGAUAACCUACCUAUAAUACUGGGAUAACUUCGGGAAACCGGAGCUAAUACCGGAUAAUAUUUUGAACCGCAUGGUUCAAUAGUGAAAUACGGUGGUGCUGGAACUUAUAGAUGGAUCCGCGCUGCAUUAGCUGGUUGGUAAGGUAACGGCUUACCAAGGCAACGAUGCAUAGCCGACCUGAGAGGGUGAUCGGCCACACUGGAACUGAGACACGGUCAAGACUCCUACGGGAGGCAGCAGUAGGGAAUCUUCCGCAAUGGGCGAAAGCCUGACGGAGCAACGCCGCGUGAGUGAUGAAGGUCUUCGGAUCGUAAAACUCUGUUAUUAGGGAAGAACAUAUGUGUAAGUAACUGUGCACAUCUUGACGGUACCUAAUAAGAAAGCCACGGCUAACUACGUG